rnacentral:rRNA from 1 species
UGCCAGCAGCCGCGAUAAAACCAGCACCUCAAGUGGUCAGGAUGAUUAUUGGGCCUAAAGCAUCCGUAGCCUGUUCUAUAAGUUUCCGGUUAAAUCCAUGCGCUUAACGUAUGGGCCGCCGAAAAUACUGUAGAACUAGGGAGUGGGAGAGGUAGACGGUACUCGAUAGGAAGAGGUAAAAUUCUUUGAUCUAUUGAUGACCUCCUGUGGCGAAGGCGGUCUACCAGAACACGUUCGACGGUGAGGGAUGAAAGCUGGGGGAGCAAACCGGAUUAGAUA